rnacentral:rRNA from 1 species
CAGUAGCCGCGGGAAUACGAAGGGGGCUAGCGUUGCUCGGAAUGACUGGGCGUAAAGGGCGCGUAGGCGGAUAGGACAGUCAGAUGUGAAAUUCCUGGGCUCAACCUGGGGGCUGCAUUUGAUACGUCUUGUCUAGAGUGAGGAAGAGGGUCGUGGAAUUCCCAGUGUAGAGGUGAAAUUCGUAGAUAUUGGGAAGAACACCGGUGGCGAAGGCGGCGACCUGGUCCUUGACUGACGCUGAGGCGCGAAAGCGUGGGGAGCAAACAGGAUUAGAUACCCCUGUAGUCCCUGUCUCUUAUCA